rnacentral:rRNA from 1 species
UACGUAGGGGGCGAGCGUUAUCCGGAUUUAUUGGGCGUAAAGGGUACGUAGGCGGCCCGAUAAGUCAGAUGUGAAAGGCAUCGGCUCAACCGAUGUAAGCAUUUGAAACUGUCAGGCUUGAGUACUGGAGAGGAAAGUGGAACUCCUAGUGUAGCGGUGAAAUGCGUAGAUAUUAGGAGGAACACCAGUGGCGAAGGCGACUUUCUGGACAGAAACUGACGCUGAGGUACGAAAGCGUGGGGAGCAAACAGG